CCUACGGGAGGCAGCAGUGAGGAAUAUUGGUCAAUGGACGCAAGUCUGAACCAGCCAUGCCGCGUGAAGGAUGAAGGCCUUCUGGGUUGUAAACUUCCUUUAUCGGGGAAGAAAAUUAUGGUUUCUACUAUAACCGACGGUACCCGAGGAAUAAGCACCGGCUAACUCCGUGCCAGCAGCCGCGGUAAUACGGAGGGUGCAAGCGUUAUCCGGAUUCACUGGGUUUAAGGGGUGUGUAGGCGGGCUAUGAGAAAUCUCCGGGCUCAACCCGGAAACUGCCAUUGAUACUAUUAGUCUUGAAUGUUGUUGAGGUGGGCGGAAUAUAUCAUGUAGCGGUGAAAUGCAUAGAUAUGAUAUAGAACACCGAUUGCGAAGGCAGCUCACUAAACAACGAUUGACGCUGAGGCACGAAAGCGUGGGGAUCAAACAGGAUUAGAUACCCCAGUAGUC
rnacentral:rRNA from 1 species